rnacentral:rRNA from 1 species
UACGAGGGGGCAAAUGUUGUUCGGAAUUACUGGGCGUAAAGGGCUCGUAGGCGGCCAACUAAGUCAGACGUGAAAUCCCUCGGCUUAACCGGGGAACUGCAUCUGAUACUGGAUGGCUUGAGUUCGGGAGAGGGAUGCGGAAUUCCAGGUGUAGCGGUGAAAUGCGUAGAUAUCUGGAGGAACACCGGUGGCGAAGGCGGCAUCCUGGACCGACACUGACGCUGAGGAGCGAAAGCCAGGGGAGCAAACGGG